rnacentral:lncRNA from 11 species
UCCUCUCCCCUUCUCCUCUCUUCUUCUGCAGUCUUCACCAUCCAGGUCCUGGUCACUGGGCGAACCGGUGGCUGCGAGGAUCUGUUCUUAGAGAAGGUCUCUGGCCGCCUCUCCAAGAUCCACCUCAAGACGGAAAGUUAUCAAGAGGACUCCGGCCACUUCCUGCUGGUCUUCUGCCCGGUCUCCUCCCGGAUGGGCACCGACAUGGAGAAUGCGCUGGAGGAUCUCAAAGGUGAGCCAAAGGCGGUCUUGAUCGUGCUGCAUCACAGACUGAAAGAAUACGACCGCUUUCUGGACACCAAGCUGCAGGCACAACACCCGGCCGUGGUGCACACCGUCCACGCUUGCUACACGCUCGAGGGCGGCCUCUACGACUGCCAGAUGAACGAGGAGGCCGUGGCUGAUGUGGCCAAAGUCCUCAAGGUCCAUUACAAAGAGAUGGAGAAAGGGUCCUCGGACCCUGCGGCCAAGCCGCCAGACUCGGCCUCCCAGCAGGCAGAGAUCCACAGAUCGGAGCGUUGGCGGCUGAAGCAGAAGCUUCCGGAGGACAGAAGAGGCCAAAGGGAUGAAAGCUGGGAGCCAAGGAAGCAAAGAGGGUGGUUUUCAUGUUGCAAGAAAGGUCUCCCCAUCCAGGUGCUUGUCACCGGGCGGACUGAAAACUGUGAAGGCCAGUUCUUAUGGAGGGUCUCUCACCGCCUUGACAAAAUCCGUCUCAAGCCAGAGAGGUACCGAGAGGACUGUGGCCACUUCCUGCUGGUCUUCUGCCCCGUGACCUCCUCGGUGGACAUCGACAUGGCCAACGCUCUCGAGGGUCUCCACUGUGAGCCGGAGGCGAUCUUGGUGAUGCUGCACCACAAACCGAAGGAGAGCACCUCUUUUGUGGACACCACGAGGCAGGCGCAACACCGGGCCGUGGAGUGCACUGUACACGCUCGCUACACGCUUGAAGAUGGCUUCUACUGCUGCCAGACAAACAAGGUGGCUGUGGCCAUUGUGGCCCAAGUCCUAGAAGAGCGCCGCAAAAUGAAUGCUGUUCAGCAUCAGAAAGGCCCAAUCAGAAGAGGAAGAGAUGUGUCCCUCCAUCGCAGCUGCCAGCCAGAGUUCGAAUGAAUGGUUGAACCUGCAAACAGGAGGACUGACUGAGACUUCUUGUAAGUCAGUCUCCAUGCUGGGCUGGGAAGAGAUCCUUAAGGGUUGUUGAAUGUUUUCCGGGCUGCAUGGCCAUGUUCCAGGAGAGAAUAUGCCCGGAAAACAUACAACAACCCUGUGAUCCCGGCCAUGAAAGCCUUCGACAACACAGAGAUUCCUAAAAUUAUUUAUGUAUGUAUUUUAUUUACAGUAUUUAUAUUCCGCCCUUCUCACUCUGAAGGGGACUCAGGGUGGAUCACAGAACAUAUAUAUAUACAAACACACACAUACAUUUAAUGCUGUUAUACACAGACAAUUGUACACAGAAUAGACGUAUAUAUAGGCUUUUCCAAUCUUCAGCAUCUUGGAGGCUUGUGCUCAGUUCCGGCCACGGGGGGAUGUGUGUGCCGUUGCUCCAUCUCCCUGUUCGUAAACUUCCUCCUUUUUGAUGAACCGCCAGCAUUUUUUUUCUGGGUGCCUUUAAAAUACCUCUGUUUUUUAAAGCAGUACCUAUUAAUCUACUCACAUUUUGCUUUCAAAUCGCUAGGUGUUCGAAAGCUGGGCUAAAGGUCAGGAAUUCACCCGGACCCAUGCUUUGAACUGCCAACCUUUUGACUGGCAAGAUUUACUGCAGCUGGUGGUUAACCUGCUGUGCUAAAGCCCGGCCCUAAAUAGAAGUUCUAUUGGUUAAUAUGAGGCAUUCAGUGAGAUUGUUGUCGUUGAAGGCUUUCAUGUCUGGAAUCACAGUGCUGUUGUGUGUUUU